UACAGAGGGUGCAAGCGUUGUUCGGAAUUAUUGGGCGUAAAGGGCGCGUAGGCGGUGCGGUAAGUCUGCAGUGAAAUCUCUGGGCUCAACUCAGAGUCUGCUGUAGAAACUGCCGUGCUUGAGUGUGGGAGAGGUGAGUGGAAUUCCCGGUGUAGCGGUGAAAUGCGCAGAUAUCGGGAGGAACACCGGUGGCGAAGGCGGUUCUCUGGGCCUUACCUGACGCUGAGGAGCGAAAGCGUGGGGAGCGAACAGG
rnacentral:rRNA from 1 species